rnacentral:rRNA from 1 species
AUUGAACGCUGGCGGCAUGCUUUACACAUGCAAGUCGAACGGUAACAGGUUAAGCUGACGAGUGGCGAACGGGUGAGUAAUGCAUCGGAACGUGCCCGAUCGUGGGGGAUAACGCAGCGAAAGCUGCGCUAAUACCGCAUACGAUCUGAGGAUGAAAGCGGGGGACCGUAAGGCCUCGCGCGAUCGGAGCGGCCGAUGGCAGAUUAGGUAGUUGGUGGGGUAAAGGCCCACCAAGCCGACGAUCUGUAGCUGGUCUGAGAGGACGACCAGCCACACUAGGACGUGCACACGGCCCAGACUCCGACGGGAGGCAGCAGUGGGGAAUUAUGGACAAUGUGCGAAAGCCUGAUCCAGCAAUGCCGCGUGCAGGAAGAAGGCCUUCGGGUUGUAAACUGCUUUUGCACGGAGCGAAAAGGUCCUUUCUAAUACAAGGGGCUCAUGACGGUACCGUAAGAAUAAGCACCGGCUAACUACGUGCCAGCAGCCGCCGUAA